ACUGAAAGCCGAUGAAGGACGUGAUAUACUGCGAUAAGUUUCGGGGAGCUGUAUGUAAGCUUUGAUCCGAAAAUUUCCGAAUGGGGAAACCCACCACUUUAUGUGGUACUUUAAACUGAAUACAUAGGUUUAAAGAGACAACCUGGAGAACUGAAACAUCUAAGUAACCAGAGGAAAAGAAAUCAAUUGAGAUUCCGUUAGUAGUGGCGAGCGAACGCGGAGUAGGCCAGUAGUUUUGUUAGAAAAAUUUGAAUAGUUUGGAAAUGCUAACCAUAGAGGGUGAUAGUCCCGUAUGAGUAAUGUCUAACAAAAUUCUUGAGUAAAGCGGGACACGAGAAAUCCUGCUCGAAUAUAGGGGGACCACCCUCUAAGCCUAAAUACUCUUCAGUGACCGAUAGUGAACUAGUACCGUGAGGGAAAGGUGAAAAGAACCCCUAUUAGGGGAGUGAAAUAGAACCUGAAACUGCAUGCCUACAAUCAGUCCGAGCCCUUUUUAGGGUGAGGGCGUACCUUUUGUAUAAUGGGUCAGUGACUUAAUUUAUUAAGCAAGCUUAAGCCAUCUAGGUGUAGGCGUAGCGAAAGCGAGUCUUAAUAGGGCGAUUAGUUUAAUGAAUUAGACCCGAAAACGAAUGAGCUUACCAUGAGCAGGUUGAAAGUUGGGUAACACCAACCGGAGGACCGAACCAGUUGACGUUGAAAAGUCUUUGGAUGACUUGUGGUAAGGGGUGAAAGGCCAACCAAAUUCGUAGAUAGCUGGUUUUCCGCGAAAACUAUUUAGGUAGUGCGUCGAAUAAAUAGAUGUUUAGAGGUAGAGCACUAAAUGGGCUAGGGGGAAGAGAUUCUUACCAAACCUAAUAAAACUCCGAAUGCUAGACAUUGUUCUUCGGCAGACAGACUGUGGGUGCUAAGGUCCAUGGUCGAGAGGGAAAGAGCCCAGACCACCAGAUAAGGUCCCAAAAUCAUGAUUAAGUGUGAAAGGAUGUGGAAAUUCCUUAACAGCCGGGAGGUUGGCUUAGAAGCAGCCAUCCUUUAAAGAUAGCGUAACAGCUCACCGGUCUAAUAGAGUUUCUGCGCCGAAGAUGUAACGGGGCUAAAAUCAUGUACCGAAUCUGUGGCUUUGCAAAGUUUUCGAACUUUGUAAGGGGUAGCGGAACGUUCUGUAAGCCUGCGAAGGGAUACCCGUGAGGGAUCCUGGAGGUAUCAGAAGUGCGAAUGCUGACAUAAGUAACGAUAAACGAAGUGAAAAACUUCGUCGCCGAAAAUCUAAGGGUUUCUAUGCAAGGUUAAUCCGCGUAGAGUUAGUCGGCACCUAAGGCGAGGGCGAAAGCCGUAGUCGAUGGAAACAAGGUUAAUAUUCCUUGACCUGAUGGUAGUGACGGAUUUCGUAAGUUGUGAGUUCUUAAUGGAUUGAACUUGCCGCGAAGAGGUCCCAAGAAAUAGCUCCAUCAUGAAGACCGUACCCGAAACCGACACAGGUAGAUUAAUAGAGUAUAUUUAGGCGCUUGAGAGAAUGAUGUUGAAGGAACUCGGCAAAAUGCUUCCGUAACUUCGGGAUAAGGAAGACCCUUUUGUAGGCAACUAUGGAAGGGUGGCACAAGCCAGGGAGAAGCGACUGUUUAUCAAAAACACAGGGCUCUGCUAACACGUAAGUGGAUGUAUAGGGUCUGACGCCUGCCCGGUGCUGGAAGGUUAAUGCGGUUGGUGCAAGCUAACUUCUGAAGCCCCAGUAAACGGCGGCCGUAACUAUAACGGUCCUAAGGUAGCGAAAUUCCUUGUCGGGUAAGUUCCGACCUGCAUGAAUGGCGUAACGAUUUCUCCGCUGUCUCCAACAUCAACUCAGUGAAAUUGAAUUCUCCGUGAAGAUGCGGAGUUCGCGUAGUUAGACGGAAAGACCCCGUGCACCUUUACUGCAACUUUACAUUGGUGUUAGGAAAAACAUAUUUAGCAUAGGAGGGAGACUUUGAAGCAAAGGCGUUAGCUUUUGUGGAGUCACCAGUGAAAUACCUCUUUUGUUUUUCUUGACAUCU
rnacentral:rRNA from 1 species